AAGUAAAGCUUUAAAUUUUUUGUUGUAGAUAGUGUAUAUUAAUGGAAGUAAUCUUAAAUUGAAAGUUAUAGUAUAGGAAUAGAAUGAAUUAGCUUAUUGAUAGUUGAUUAGUAUUGUGAAAGAAUGGUGAAAAAUUUUGAAAAAUGGAUUUUAUAUAAGUAGAUUUUUGUUGUACCUUGUGUAUCAGGGUUUAUUAAAAUAAGAUUAAGGAUACUAUUUUUCCCGAAUUGGAAAGAGUUAAUUUAUUAGGUUGGUUAAUGUAAUACUAUUAUCAAUAAUAAUAAGUUAGUAAUGAAAUGUUAGUCGAUUUCUAAUAUAUCUGGUUCUCUGAGAAAUGAAUUUAAUUCAGUGUUUUUGUAGUAAUUUUUUGUAUUAGUGCAUUAAUUAUUAGUUGAAUAUAAUGUUUUAAGGGAUAAGCUUUAAAAUAGGUGUUAUAAUUAUUGUAGUGUUGUAUUAAAUUGUAGGCUUUAAAGUAGCCAUCAUAUUGAUAGUGUUAUAAAUCAUUUUAUUUUAAUAUAAUUUUAUAAUAAUGUUAAAUAGUGUAUCAGAGUGAAUCAUUAAAUUUAUAUUUGAUUGUAAUAAUGAUAUAAUUAGUAUAUUUGUAUUGUGAUAAAUUUUUAUAGUGUUAAUUUAUAUUAAGGAACUAGGCAAAAUUGAUAUUCGCCUGUUUAUCAAAAACAUGUCCUUUUGAGUUUAAUUUAAGGUCGGGCCUGCCCACUGGUAGAACUAAAGGGCCGCGGUAUCCUGACCGUGCAAAGGUAGCAUAAUCAUUAGUCUUUUAAUUGAAGGCUGGAAUGAAUGGUUUGACGAAAUAUCAACUGUCUCAGUAUAAUUGGUAGAAUUUAACCUCUGGGUUAAAAGGCCUAGAUAUAUAUAAAAGACGAGAAGACCCUAUAGAUCUUUAUAUAGAAGUGUUUUUAUAUUGUUUAGUGGAUUUGUUUAUAGAAAUAUUGUUAUAUUUUGUUGGGGUGACAUGAAGAUAUAAUAAACUCUUUAUGGUUAUAACAUUGAUUUAUGGAUUGUUGAUCCGUUAUUAGCGAUUAUAAGAUAAAGUUACCUUAGGGAUAACAGCGUAAUUUUUUUUGAGAGUUCUUAUCGACAAGAAAGAUUGCGACCUCGAUGUUGGAUUAAGGAAUAUAAUUAGGUGUAGAAGUUUAAUUAAUAAGUCUGUUCGACUUUUAAACCCUUACAUGAUCUGAGUUCAGACCGGCGUGAGCCAGGUCGGUUUCUAUCUUUAUAGUAGGAGAGUAUUUUAGUACGAAAGGACCAGAUACUUGAAAUAAUUUUUAUAUAGGAUAGCGAUUAAUAU
rnacentral:rRNA from 1 species